AGUCCAAGCUACAUUAUUGGCGCUGGCAGGGCUAAAACGCCUAGAUAUGACAGAAAAUGUCACUUCCAUUCUUCCUAUAGAGGAUAUGCUACCGGCAGUUGCUCAGGGAGCCAUUGGUAUUGCAUGCAGAAGUGAUGAUGAGACAAUGGUAUUCACAUCGUUUCUUCCAUAAAUAUAGUUGCUUCUAUUGCAGUUCUCUAUUCGAUGACGAGACAAUGGUAUUCACAUCGUUUCUUCCAUAAAUAUAGUUGCUUCUAUUGCAGUUCUCUAUUAUUCUUUAAUGAAAAACUUCAAUCACAGGCCAAUUACAUUGCCUU
rnacentral:lncRNA from 1 species